UACAGAGGGGGCAAGCGUUGUUCGGAAUUACUGGGCGUAAAGGGCGCGUAGGUGGCCUUCUAAGUUGAACGUGAAAUCCCUGGGCUCAACCCAGGAACUGCGUCCAAGACUGGGAGGCUUGAAUCCGGGAGAGGGAUGCGGAAUUCCAGGUGUAGCGGUGAAAUGCGUAGAGAUCGGGAGGAAGGCCGGUGGCGAAGGCGGCGCUCUGGAACAUUUCUGACGCUGAGGCUCGAAAGCGUGGGGAGCAAACAGG
rnacentral:rRNA from 1 species